UACGGGAGGCAGCAGUGGGGAAUAUUGCACAAUGGGCGCAAGCCUGAUGCAGCCAUGCCGCGUGUAUGAAGAAGGCCUUCGGGUUGUAAAGUACUUUCAGUCGUGAGGAAGGUGUUAAGGUUAAUAACCUUAGCAAUUGACGUUAGCGACAGAAGAAGCACCGGCUAACUCCGUGCCAGCAGCCGCGGUAAUACGGAGGGUGCGAGCAUUAAUCGGAAUUACUGGGCGUAAAGGGCACGCAGGCGGUUAAUUAAGUUGGAUGUGAAAUCCCCGGGCUAACCUGGGAAUGGCAUUCAAGACUGGUUAGCUAGAGUCUUGUAGAGGGGGUAGAAUUCCAUGUGUAGCGGUGAAAUGCGUAGAGAUGUGGAGGAAUACCGGUGGCGAAGGCGGGCCCCUGGGACAAAGACUGACGCUCAUGUGCGAAAGCGUGGGGAGCAAACAGGAUUAGAUACC
rnacentral:rRNA from 1 species